AGUGAACGCUGGCGGCAGGCCUAACACAUGCAAGUCGAGCGGCAGCGCGGGGGCAACCCUGGCGGCGAGCGGCGGACGGGUGAGGAAUUCGUCGGAAUCUGCCUUUUUGUGGGGGAUAACGUAGGGAAACUUACGCUAAUACCGCAUACGUCCUACGGGAGAAAGUGGGGGACCGCAAGGCCUCACGCAGAAAGAUGAGCCGACGACCGAUUAGCUAGUUGGUGGGGUAAAGGCCCACCAAGGCGACGAUCGGUAGCUGGUCUGAGAGGAUGAUCAGCCACACUGGGACUGAGACACGGCCCAGACUCCUACGGGAGGCAGCAGUGGGGAAUAUUGGACAAUGGGCGCAAGCCUGAUCCAGCCAUGCCGCGUGUGUGAAGAAGGCUUUCGGGUUGUAAAGCACUUUUGUCCGGAAAGAAAUCCCUGGAGCUAAUACCUUCGGGGGAUGACGGUACCGGAAGAAUAAGCACCGGCUAACUUCGUG
rnacentral:rRNA from 1 species